AUGCUCACUUUGGUAGCACAUAUACUAAAAUUGGGAUGAUACAGAGAAGAUUAGCAUGGCCCCUGCACAAGGAUGACACGCAAAUCCGUGAAGCGUUCCACAUUUUU
rnacentral:snRNA from 1 species